rnacentral:rRNA from 1 species
GUUGCGAGUGCGGGCCCUCGGGGCCCAACCUCCCACCCGUGUUGCCCGAACCUAUGUUGCCUCGGCGGGCCCCGCGCCCGCCGACGGCCCCCCUGAACGCUGUCUGAAGUUGCAGUCUGAGACCUAUAACGAAAUUAGUUAAAACUUUCAACAACGGAUCUCUUGGUUCCGGCAUCGAUGAAGAACGCAGCGAAAUGCGAUAACUAAUGUGAAUUGCAGAAUUCAGUGAAUCAUCGAGUCUUUGAACGCACAUUGCGCCCUCUGGUAUUCCGGAGGGCAUGCCUGUCCGAGCGUCAUUGCUGCCCUCAAGCCCGGCUUGUGUGUUGGGCCCCGUCCCCCCCGCCGGGGGGACGGGCCCGAAAGGCAGCGGCGGCACCGCGUCCGGUCCUCGAGCGUAUGGGGCUUCGUCACCCGCUCUAGUAGGCCCGGCCGGCGCCAGCCGACCCCCAACCUUUAAUUAUCUCAGGUUGACCUCGGAUCAGGUAGGGAUACCCGCUGAACUUAAGCAUAUCAAUAAGCGGAGGAA